UACAGAGGGGGCAAGCGUUGUCCGGAAUUAUUGGGCGUAAAGAGCUCGUAGGCGGUUUGUCGCGUCUGCUGUGAAAACUCGGGGCUUAACUCCGGGCCUGCAGUGGGUACGGGCAAACUAGAGUGCGGUAGGGGAGACUGGAAUUCCUGGUGUAGCGGUGAAAUGCGCAGAUAUCAGGAGGAACACCGGUGGCGAAGGCGGGUCUCUGGGCCGUAACUGACGCUGAGGAGCGAAAGCGUGGGGAGCGAACAGG
rnacentral:rRNA from 1 species